rnacentral:rRNA from 1 species
GAUGAACGCUAGCUACAGGCUUAACACAUGCAAGUCGAGGGGAAACGACAUCGAAAGCUUGCUUUUGAUGGGCGUCGACCGGCGCACGGGUGAGUAACGCGUAUCCAACCUGCCCACCACUUGGGGAUAACCUUGCGAAAGUAAGACUAAUACCCAAUGAUAUCCCACGAAGGCAUCCGAAUGGGAUUAAAGAUUUAUCGGUGAUGGAUGGGGAUGCGUCUGAUUAGCUUGUUGGCGGGGUAACGGCCCACCAAGGCAACGAUCAGUAGGGGUUCUGAGAGGAAGGUCCCCCACAUUGGAACUGAGACACGGUCCAAACUCCUACGGGAGGCAGCAGUGAGGAAUAUUGGUCAAUGGGCGCAGGCCUGAACCAGCCAAGUCGCGUGAGGGAUGACGGUCCUACGGAUUGUAAACCUCUUUUGUCGGGGAGUAACGUGCGGGACGGGUCCCGUAUUGAGAGUACCCGAAGAAAAAGCAUCGGCUAACUCCGUG